rnacentral:rRNA from 1 species
GACGAACGCUGGCGGCGUGCUUAACACAUGCAAGUCGAACGGAAAGGCCCUGCUUUUGUGGGGUGCUCGAGUGGCGAACGGGUGAGUAACACGUGAGUAACCUGCCCUUGACUUUGGGAUAACUUCAGGAAACUGGGGCUAAUACCGGAUAGGAGCUCCUGCUGCAUGGUGGGGGUUGGAAAGUUUCGGCGGUUGGGGAUGGACUCGCGGCUUAUCAGCUUGUUGGUGGGGUAGUGGCUUACCAAGGCUUUGACGGGUAGCCGGCCUGAGAGGGUGACCGGCCACAGUGUGCCAGGGUGCCGGCCAGGACCCGUGCGGGGGGCAGUGGGGGGGAACAUGGCACGAGGGGCGGAGGCGGGCGGGAGGGCAGCGGGUGGCGGGAGGAGGGCGUUCGGGGUGAGAACCGCUUCCGGCGGGGGGGAAGGGGGGGUGAGGGUAAUGGUGAAAGAAGCAGCGGAAAACUAGGGGCGAGGGGCGGAGGAAUGAGCGAACAGCCACCGUCGGAAC